rnacentral:rRNA from 1 species
UACGUAGGGUGCGAGCGUUGUCCGGAAUUAUUGGGCGUAAAGAGCUCGUAGGCGGUUUGUCGCGUCUGCUGUGAAAUCCCGAGGCUCAACCUCGGGCCUGCAGUGGGUACGGGCAGACUAGAGUGCGGUAGGGGAGAUUGGAAUUCCUGGUGUAGCGGUGGAAUGCGCAGAUAUCAGGAGGAACACCGAUGGCGAAGGCAGAUCUCUGGGCCGUAACUGACGCUGAGGAGCGAAAGCAUGGGGAGCGAACAGG